rnacentral:lncRNA from 1 species
GUCCUAUGUACAUCUUUCCCUCAAGUGUUUGUGGACAUUGACGAGAUCCUUCUGAGCUUCCAAUUUGAGCAGUUUCAGGUCUCUCAGCUUCUCACUAGAGAGGUGCUUCAGGCCCUUUAUCAUCUUGGUUGCCCUGUGAUGCACUCCGUCCAGAUCCUUCUUGUACUGGAUGGCCCAUCACAGGGUCCAGUACUUCAGGUACAGCCUCAGCAGUGCUGAGUAGAAUGGAGGGAUCACCUCCUCCUUCCUGCUGGUAAUACUUUUCCUAAUGCAACCCAGGAUACCAUUGGCCUUGGUGUCAGCCCAUUUCUCUAGUGUUGGAGGUCUCUCUGUAUGGGUGGAUCUUGAGUGAUUUAGCUUGUCCUUUCAGUUUUGUCAUCUGCAAAUUUACUUGAAGGUGUGAUCUAUCCCAUCAUCCAGAAUACUAGUGAAGAUGUUAGAUGGGACUGGACUCAACAUUGGCCGCUGGGAUACUUCACUCAAUAUGAGCCUUCAACUGUACUUUGCAUUGCUGACUCCUAUCUUUUGGGCCCUACCGUUUAGUCAGUUUUGAUCAGCCCUACUGACCACUCAUGCAGCCCAUAUUUCAACAGCUUCUCUCAGUCUGGAUGUUAGGAAGAGGUUCUUUACCAACAGGGUGGUCAGGCACUGGAACAGGCUUCCAAAUGCAGUGGUCACAGCACCAAGGUACUAGAGUUCAAGAAACAUUUUGAACAAUGCUGUCAGACAGGGUUUGAAUUUUGGGAGGGCUCGUGUGCAGUCAGGAGUUGGACUAUAUGGAGUAUAUGGAAUAUACCUUCUGAGUAUAUUCCUACUCAGGAUAUUUUAUGAUUUAUAGUUUGUGAUGGGAGACAGUGUCUCAAAGGCCUUACUGAAAUAUAGGAAUAUCCAACAGUAUUCACUGCUCCUGUCUCAUCCAUCAGGCUGGUCAUUUUGUUAUAGAAGCUUGCCAGGUUGAUCAAGCAGUACUUCCACCUGGUGAAUCUAUACUGGAUGUGCCUGAUAAUUCUUAGGUCCUUCAUGUGGAAAAGUUUUCCAGGAUUAGCUGUUCUAUUACCUUACCAGAGAUCAAGGUGGAGCUGACAGCUUUUAAGAUCAAGGAAGGAAGGUUUAGAUUGAAUGUCAGGGAGGAGCUCUUUACAGAGAGAGUGAUGAGGUGCUGGAACAGGCUGCCCAGAGAGGUUGUGGAUGCUCUGUACCUGGAGAUGUUCAAGACUAGGCCCUGUCUAGUAUCAGAUCUGGAGGUUGUUGGCCCUGCCUGUAGCAGGGAGGUUGGAACUUGAUGAUAAUUGGUGGGGUCCCUUCCAACCCAAAUCAUUCAGUAUUUCUAAGAAGAGCUGGCAGUUCUCUGGGUCUUUCUUUUUUCUCUUCUUGAAGAUACGAGUGACAUUUGCUUUCCUCCAGUUUUGAGUUGGUUUUCCCAGUUGCUGAGACUGACCAAACACUGUAGAGAGAGGAUUCAUAAUCUUAUCUACCAGCUCCAUCAGAACUUGUGGUUGCAUCCUAUCAGAGCCCAUGGAUUUAUGAAUGCAAAAAGAGUGGACUAAAAAUGAG